rnacentral:lncRNA from 1 species
UUGUUAAUCUGUCUGUUAUGUGUGCGUCUAAUUGAAGAGACACCCUGAACAGGCUAAGUGUGAGCAACAAGGUUGUUUAUUCACUGGGUGCGGGUGGGCUGAGUCCGAAAAGGAAGUGGUGGGGUUGGAGCUAGUUUUAUACUUUAGGGGUAAGCAGUGGAAAGUUAUAGUUCGGAGCUGUUUAUUGAGGGCAGGGGAAGAAUGUCAUAAGGUACAUUAUCAUAAGGUUACAGAGCACAGUGUCAUGAGGUUGAUUGAUCAGUUAGGGUACAGCCUGUUACAAUGAUAGAAUGUCACAAGGUUGGCUGAUCAGCUAAGACAGGAACUAGCCGUUUUUCUUCUUUUGUGGUUUUCCUGUCGUCCCAGACUUUCUGGCUCCAGGAGACCUUCUGGAUGUGUACGUGUGAGUCACAGGGGUCACGAUGGCUUGACCAUGGCGCCGCCUGCUCAGAGGACCUUACAUUCCUGUCUUUUUAUGCUAACAAAACAAAACAAGAAAAAGUAGUGAAAUGUUGGGGUGGUGAAAAUUUUGGGGAUGGUAUGGAGAGAUGAUGGGCGAUGUUUUUCAGGGCUUCUUCGAGCAGGCUUAGGGACGGCGUGGGAACCUAAGGUGGGAGAGAUUAAACAGAAGAAAGAUCUUGGGGUAAGGGGGAUACUGUGCAGUUGCUAGAAGGGGCAUUUGUCGUACUGACUGAUUAGUAAUAGCUUGGAUGCGAUUUUGUAUGAACUGAGAGAUGAGUCUAAAAAGACAAAGUCCCAAUAAGAUGAGGAGAAGGAUGAGUGCAAAGGGGCCUGUCAGUGGAAGGAACCAUGAAUCUAAGCUAGAGAAUGGCCAGGUAGUGCCAGUAUAACUAUUUGCCUGAUUAGUGAGCUUUUGGGCUCUGUCUUUAAGUUUUUUAAUGUUGUCAUAUACAAGGCCUGAUUGAUUUAAGUAAAAGCAGCACUCUUCAUUUAAGAAUAGGCAGAGUCCUCCUUUGUCAGCAGUAAGCAGAUCGAGGCCUUGGCGAUUUUGGAGGACAGCUGCGGCUAAGGAAUCGACCUGGGUUUGGAGGACAGAAAGUGUUUGAGUUAUAUCAGUAAGGCUAGUGGAGAAGUCACUGAAAAGACUGCAAAACGUGUUGAUGGAAGUUAUAAGACCUGCUAUUCCUGUUCCACUGGCAGUGGCUGAAACUCCUAAUCCUACAAGCAAGGGAGUUAAUGGGAUGACUUUUUUUUUUUUUUUUUUUUUGUCAUGUUGGAGUUAUGAGGGGAAUGGGGAGUUGUUUGUUUCCAUUUGUAAACUCGAUCUUGGGAGUAAGGAAGAUUAAAGUGAAGGUGCCUGUCCAAUUGGCAGGGAGGCACAUGUAUGCGGAAAAACCAACAGAAACAAAAAGAGUCCAUGAGGCAGGCAUAACUGGAAGUGGAGAGUAAAAAAAAUGAGAGUGUGUUCUGGAAGCAGAGUCCUGCACCCAGAGCCCUAGGGAUCCAGCAAGGGCAGCGGCUAUUAGAGGUUGUAGUGGGGUUUGGUAGGAUAACUGUGUAGAGGGAGAGGUUCUGUUUUAAUGGUGUGAAAAAAAGAAUUUGGUAUCUGUAAGUAGCCAUUCACUGUUAUUUAUAAGACUAGGUAUAAACAGGCAGGCAGAAGGCCUUGGAGGGGAAUCCAUUGAACAGGGGAAGGAUAGCCAAGGAUGGAGUGAGAGCCAGGGUAAAUGUCUUCCUAGGCAAAAGUUGCUACUGAUGUUUUUAAGAGUGUUAGUGAUGAGGGAGGGCUUUUCUGUAAUACGAAGCUGGAAUGCUCCAAUAUUUUGGUUAAUGUGGGUGGCAGGGCCUUGGAGGUAAAGAGUAAAGGAACAUAAGGAAGAUGGGAGGUAACCCAAGGGAAUUCCAGCAGGUAAUUGUAGGGAGAUGCAUAAGGGGGCAGCAAUGGGGAUAGUUGUUUGUAUAGUGAGGGGUCCAAGAACAGGAGGUGUGGAAGUGACGUAGGGAGAUAGAUUUCGUAGGUAGGAGGAAGAGAGGGAAAUGCAUAGGAAGGAUUGGAGAUGGUGAAGAGGGAGUGGGUGAGGUUGAUGGUAUUCUGGAGAUAAUUAGGGAGGGAUAGAGGGUGGCAGGAGAACGGGAGUAAGACAAAGAGUAAGUAUAAAAGAAAAGAACUUCAUCAGGAUGGAAGAAUUGGAGAGUACUUUGCCACAGAAGGUCAUCUAUCCACUCUAAGAGAGAGUUAAGGGUAGCAGCUGGAGGGUGACUCCAUGAGGUAUCAGCUACAAUGGUCUGGAGGAAAAGCGUGAACUGGCAGUAUAGACAAAAGCAGGGCAUUUAGAAGUAGGUGAGAAUGGUGAUUAGGGGCAUAAGUAGACAGAGUUUAAAUAGUGGGGUGACUGUGUAAAGGUCUACUGUAAAUAAAAGGUAUACAGGUUUAUUGUUCUUUUUCAGGAAUGCGGGUAAGUUUAAGGGAAGUAGGAGAGAGUACUUGUGACUUCCAGGAGGAGGUGGAGGAGCUAGGCUGGUCGUCAGAUGGGCAUAGUUUUAUCCUGGAGCGAUGAAUCCAGUGGGGAGGAUUCUGUAGACUGACCACUGUUGGGGUACUAUAGAUGACCAGGUAGGAUCCUGUCCACAGAGGUUGUAGAGUUUGAGGGGUUAGGUUCUUAACGAGAACUGACAGUCCAGCUAGGGUGUCUUCAUAUCACUGGGUCUCUGGAGUAGGUAACAGGAAAUUGGCAGCUUGGCAGAUUUUAUGUCUAGCCUGUUGAAGGACAAGAAGAUAAUCACCAAGAGGGCUGGUGUUUGGAAUAAGGUUGGGCCCAAGCAGAAAGGUGCGACCAUAUAAGAGUUUAAAUGGACUGUACCUGGUGGGUUCCUGGGGUGUGGCUCGAAUUAGGAGGAGUGCAAGGGGUAGAAGAGUGGUCCAGUCUUUCUGAAGCUGGAGGGUAAGUUUAGCGAGGUGUGUUUUUAAAAGGCCGUUGGCUUUCUCUACUUUUCCAGAGGACUGAGGGUGAUAGGGGGCAUAAAGAUUCCAUUGGAUACCAACGGCUGGUUAAUGAAGGCCGGCCUGUUAUCAGACUGUAUGGAAGUAGGGAGACAAAACCGGGGGAUUAUGUCUGUUAGAAGAGACAAAAUAAUGGCCCUGGCUUUUUUAGACCUCCUGGGAAAAGCC